GGGUUCUCUUCAUUAUAGACCUGCAUUGCUGAAUAUGUUAUUGCUUUGACUUCUGUUCCCUAAAGUUGGGGUUAGAGAAAAAAAAAAAAAAAAGGAAAAUAGGAUAUUGAAAUCAUAAUCAUUAACUCUAGCAACAAUCAGCAGAAAGUAAAAAUUUUAGUAUUUUGAAAAUGAAAAACUCACAUGAAACAAUUAGUUAUCAAAUUAGGAGAAUAUACAGGGAUCCAAGAAAAAUGAGAGGCAACACAUGCACAAUGGAGUUGGGACAUGGAACUCUAAUCCUGGCUUUGUUUCCACCUGGGUGUAUAGAAAUUGUCUGGCCUGUCUGGACAUCAGUUUUUCAUUUAUAAAAUGGGUUAAAUCACAUAAAGACACAUCCAUGGGUAUGUUCACUGCAGCACUAUUCACAAUAGCAAAGACAUAGAAUCAAUCCACAUGCCCAUCAAUGGUAGACUGGAUAAAGAAAAUGUGACACACAUACACCAUAGAAUACUACACAGCCAUAAAAAAGAAUGAGAUCAUGUUCUUUGCAACAACGUGGAUGGAGCUGGAGGCCAUUAUCCUAAGUGAAUUCAUGCAGGAGCAGAAAAUCAAAUACCAUGUUUCCAUAUAUUUAUUUGGGACAUAAACAUUGAGUACACAUGAACACAAAGAGGGAAACAAGACACCGGGUCUAUUUGAGAGUUGGGGGAGGGUGAGGAUUGAAAAACUGCCUAUCAGGUAUUAUGCUGAUUACCUAGGUGACAAAAUUAUCUGUACACUAAACCCCCACAACAUGCAAUUUACCCAUGUAACAAACUCGUAUAUGUACCCCAUGAACCUAAAAAUAAAAGUUGGAAAGAAAAAAAAGUAAAAAACUUUUGAGGAUGAUUAAAAAAAAAAAAAGAAAAUGGGUUGAAUCAAAGAACACAAGCUUUUCUACUAUUUGGCUCAGGGCUCUUUCUGAAAUCAAAACCACCUCCUUAUACUCUGACCUAGGCCCUAGGAAUUCAACUUAUUCUCUUUUCCUCAGUUGACAACACUCACUUCACCUCUUGGGACUCUUCUCUUUCCAAGUCUAGCUGAAGAAUAAGAUAUAGUUUCCCAGGUCAAAAGCUCUCCACACGUCUCUGAUACAUGACAUUGCCCAACCCUGCCCCAGUUUAAAACCACAGAAUUAGAUGUUCUCUUAGGUUCUUUCCAGCUCCAAAAGGAAUCUACAAUAAUUCUGUGCACCAUAAAAUGUACCAGGCAAUAGGUAAAUGGCAUUUGCUAGCUCUACACCACACAAAAAAAGGAAGAUUUCACAGAAGGAUAUAAGUGGCACUGCCACUGCUUUUUCUCCUCUGCCACAAUCACCUGGCAAAACCACAACCUAAUUCAAGUUCAACUGUCUGCUUAUGGCAGCACACACCAUGCUAACUGGUAUCACCCUGAGUGUAUGUCCACACAUCUCAAACAGGAAUUCAGUACUCGCAGUAAAAUCUUACAAUUACCAAUAAAUUCCCUUUUUCACUCUCUGAGACAAUUCUUUCUCUUCUCCUCUAGUGAUCAUUCCUCCCUCAUUCUCACUCUCAAUCAACUGUGCUUCCUAGAGAAAGUAAGAGCAACUCAGUAAGAACUGACUCAUUUUCCUACCACCAAAUCUACCAUCAUGCUGUAUCUGUACUCACCUUAGCCUGAUUGCAAUGAAUGGCUUGUCCCUGGCUCCCAUCAGAAGGCCAACUCCCAUACGUGAGUACUUGAUCCUAUACUCCCCUUACCAAAUUUUACCAAAGAGGCUGUGGCCCUAUCUCUACAACCUUGUCUCCUACUAUUACACCUUCACUCUCAGCUCCAGCUUGCUGUUCCCUGAACUUACCUCAUUUCAGGGCCUUUACACCUGUUUCUUCACCUAGAAAGUUCUUCCUUAUUUCUGCUCACUCCUCAUCUCUCUUGCCUCUGCUCAAAUAUCACUUUCUCAAACAUACUGAUAUAUUUUGGCUGUGUCCCCACCCAAAUCUCAUCUUGAACUGUAGUGCUCAUAAUCUCCACGUGUUGUGGGAGGGAGGGAGCAGGUGGAGAUCAUUGAAUCACGGGGGCGGUUUCCACCAUGCUGUUCUAGUGAUAGUGCGUGAGUUUUCAGGAGAUCUGAUGGUUUUCUAAGGGGCUUCCCCCUUCGCUCAGCACUCACUUCUCUUCCUGCCACAAUGUGAAGAAGGAAGGGUUUGCUUCCCCCUCCACCAUGAUUGUAAGUUUCCUGAGGUCUCCCCAGCCAUGCUGAACUAUGAAUCAAUUAAGCCCCUUUCCUUUAUAAAUUACCCAGUCUCGGGUAUGUCUUUAUCAGCAGCGUGAGAAUGGGUUAAUAAACAUAUAUUUUCUGACUACCCCCUCCCCUCCUCCAACCACUCUUACCUUAUCCUGAUGGCACUGUUCACUAUCUGAAAUUAUAUUAUGUGUUUACAUGUUUGUCUGGCUCACUUCUCCCACUACAUUUUAAACUCAGUAAGGGCAGAGACUUCGCUUAUCCUAUUACAUUUCUACCUCGAGUGCAUAAAAAAAAGUCUGAAACACUGGAGGCACUUGAUAAGUAUUUGCUGAAUGCAUGCAUAAAUUCAUGGAUGGAUGGCAUAUGGAUUCAUGGAGAGAAGGUAAAGACAGUAUUAAAACCAGGAAGGUAUUUUUAAACCAAGAAAUAUUCCAGGAACCAGAUGUUUUAAUAAGCUAUUUGUAAAACAUUCCUUUUUGCUUUGAAAAGUUGAUUGGCUGGGCCCAGUGGCUCAUGCCUGUAAUCUCAGCACUUUGGGAGGCCGAGGCAGGUGGAUCACCUGAAGUCAGGAGUUUGAGACCAGCCUGACCAACAUGGUGAAACCCCACCUCUACUAAAAAUACAAAAAUUAGCCGGCUGUGGUGGCAUACACCUGUAAUCCCAGCUACUCAGGAGGCAGAGACAGGAGAAUCGCUUGAACCUGGGAGGUGGAGGUUGCAGUGAGCUGAGAUUACACCACUGCACUCCAGCCUGGGCAACAGAGUAAGACUCCAUCUCAAAAAAAAAAAAAGAGUUAUUUGAUCAUUCAUUCAAAAAAUAAGAAGUAGCUGGGUGCAGUGGCUCACGCUUAUAAUCCCAGCACUUUGGGAGGCCAAGGUGGGUGGAUCACCUGAGGUCGGGAGUUCGAAACCAGCCUGGCCAACAUGGUGAAACCCAGUCUCUACUAAAAUACAAAAAUUAGCCUGGCAUGGUUGCAUGGGCCUGUAAUCCCAGCUACUCGGGAGGCUGAGACACGAGAAUCGCUUGAACCUGGGAGGGGGAGGUUGCAGUGAGUAGAGGUCACGUCACUGCACUCCAGCCUGGGUGACAGGGUGAGACUGUCUCAAAAAAAAAAAGAAAGAAUAAUAAUAAUAAAAAAAACUGUUGGCUGGGCGCGAUGGCUCACGCCUCUUUUGGGAGGCUGAGGUAGGUAAAUCACCUGAGCUCAGGAGUUCGAGAUCAGCCUGGCCAACAUGGUGAAACCCCAUCUCUACUAAAAAUACAAAAAAUUAGCCAGGUAUGGCGUCAUGUGCCUGUAAUCACAGCUACUUGUGAGGCUGAGGCAGGAGAAUCGCUUGAACCUGGGAGGCGGAGGUUGCAGUGAGCUGAGAUCGUGCCACUGCACUCCAGCCUGGGCAAUAGCAUGAGACUCCGUCUCAAAAACAAAACAAAACAAAACAAAACAAAACAAAACAAAAACUGUUAGGAGUACCAAGCUGGAAUUGGUGGUGUGCACCUGUAAGCUCAGCUACUCAGGAGACUGAAGUGGGGGGAUUGCUUGAGACUAGGAGUUUCGGAUCAGCCUGGGCAACACAGCAAGGCACUGUCUCACAUAAACAAAAACUCUUAGGAAUAAAUGAAAUUAAUUUGCUCACAAUCCAUUCUGAACACUUCCAAUGACAAAUAUGAAUUUAGAAUACAGUUAUGUGCCGCAUAACAUUUUGGUCAAUGACUAACUGCAUAUAUGAUGGUGGUCUGAGAAGAUUAUAAUGCUGUUUCUUUUUUUUUUUUUUAGAUGGAGUUUUGCUCUUGUCGCCCAGGCUGGAGUGUGCAAUGGCGUGAUCUCCGCUCACUGCAACCUCUGCCUCCCAGGUUCAAGCGAUUCUCCUGCCUCAGCCUCCCGAAUAGCUGGGAUUACAAGCGCCCGCCACCGCACCCAGCUAAUUUUUGUAUUUUUAGUAGAGAUGGGGUUUCACCACGUUGGCCGGGCUGGUCUAGAACUCCUGACUUCAGGUGAUUCACCCACCUCGGCCUCCCAAAAUGCGGGGAUUACAGGCGUGAACCACCACGCCGGGCCUAUAAUACUGUAUUUUUACUAUACCUUUUUUUGGUAUUUAGAAAUAUAAAUACACAAAUAUUUACCAAUGUGUAACAACUGCCUAUAGUAUUCAGUAUAGUAACAUGCUGUACAGGUUCAUAGCCUAGGAGCAAUAGGCUAUACCAUAUAGCAUAGGUUAUAGCAUCUAGGUUUGUGUAAGUACACUCCAUGAUGUUUGCACAAUGAUGUAAUCGCCUAAAGAUGCAUUUCUCAGAAUGUAUCCCAGUAGUUAAGUGACCUGUCUGUAUCUGGCCUAAACACAGGGGUCAGCAAAAUAUAUAUAGCCCACAGGCCAAAUUGCCUCUUUUUGUACAGUCCCAUAAAGUAAGAGUGAUUUUUACAUCUUUAUUUAUUUACUUUUAUUUUAUUUUUUUGAGACCAGUCUCGCUCUGUCACCCAGGCUGGAGUGCAGUGGCAUGAUCUCGGCUCACUGCAACCUCUGCCACCCAGGUUAAAGUGAUUCUCCUGCCUCAGCCUCCUGAGCAGCUAGGAUUACAGGCGCGUGCCACCACGCCCAGCUAAUUUUUGUAUUUUUAGUAGAGGCUAGGUUUCACUAUGUUGGCCAGGCUGGUCUCAAACUCCUGACCUAAAGCGAUCUGCCUGCCUUGGCCUCCCAAAGUGCUGGGAUUACAGGUCUGAGCCACCAUGCCUGCCCUGAUUUUUACAUUUUUAAAUGGUUGGGGAAAAAAAUCAAAACAAUGACAUUUUGUUACAUUUGAAAAUGAUAAGAAAUUCAAAUUUCAAUGGGCAUAAAUAAGUUUUACUAGAAUACAAGUGAACUCAUUCAUUUAAGUAUUAUCUAUGGCUACUUUGGUGCUACAACAGAAGCACUGAGUAGCUGCUCUUCUGUCAUUCUGGGCCCACAAAUCUUAAAACAUUUAUUAUCUGUCCAUUUUACAGAAAAAAACUGCCAACUCCUGUUCCAAUAGAUUUUCCUACCAUAGAGUGAGGCCAUACAGGUCGGCAAAUACAGAAUCUAGAGACACACAGAAAGUAGAAGGCACAAUAGAGAACAUCUAGUCCAACAUCUUUAUUAUAGGAGAAGAAAUAAAGGUCAAAAAGGCAAAGAGAAUUUCAAAUUCCACAAUAAUCUGAACAAACUUGACCCUAGAACCCAAUGCUGACGCCUCAUCCACUAAAUCAGGUGUGUAUAAUCACAGUAUUUUAACAAAAUAUAUCCAGACAGGUCAGAGAAGCUUGAGAAAAACUUAUCACUUUACACCAGUUAGAACUAACUGAAGUUGAUUGUCACAUAUAUGAACUUUAUGGUAAGGAAAUUUUUCAUGUUCUUAAUGGCUGGAUUUUAAAACAUACCUGAGGGUGCUUGGACAAUGAAAAUUCUUCUCCCCACCUUGAGAAUACAAAUUAAAACAUGAUUAAGAUUUGUUCUCUCUUUAUAUGUUUUAAAAUAAGCCUUGUAAAUGUGGUUAA
rnacentral:lncRNA from 1 species